CUGGGCUAGCGCGCGGGGGACCGUUGGCGGUCGCGGCGCGCGCUCGCGGGCUCUGGGGGGGCGCGCGACAAGGCUGCCAACAGCCGUUAACGGUCGCGGCGCGCGCUCGGCCCCGCCGAGGAGAGGAGCGCGGGGCGGGCGGCGACAGGCAGCGCGAAGGGGCGGGGCGCGUUGCCUGGGAGCGCCGUACACAGACCCCAAACAGCGCCCGGCCGCGGGGUGCGGGGCUCCACCAGCACCCGGCCCCACCCUGGGCCUCGAGAAGCGGACGGGCGAGCGAGCUCCGCGCCUCAGAGGGAGCGGGCUGCGGUGCGGAGGCAGCGGCGGGAGGCGCCGGGACGAAGCUCCUUACAUAAGCGAGGAGCGCCCGUGUCCCGCUGCCCGAUUUUGUACGCGCCCCGGGCUUUCGAAACGUGCCGGCUGACAGCGCGGAGCUGCCUUCCUCCUGCUCUUAGCGAGCCUGGAAUCACCACAGAAAGGUUUAACGCUAAGAGUCUCUGAGGCGUUCAAGGUUUUUCCCAGACAAGAUGCCUUCUCAGACAAAAUUUGAAGUCCUGCUGGAAAGCGGAGGAGAUGAAAUACCUUACCUGCCAAAAUUCUUCCGAAGGGUAGCAGGAAGCUCACAUGCUCUCAGCGCACAUCUUCAGCAAAAAGUGUGCACAGCCAGUACAUAAUGGAAUAAUGGAAGAUAGAUCCAUCUGAAAAAGGCCUCAGGAGGUCAUCUUUGCCAUUAUCUUAUCUCCAGGCAGGACUGACCUCUACUUCAGAUUUGAAACAGAUGUCUUCUGGUGCAAUUGUCGACGUUCAAGAAUAAAGAAUGCUUUUACUUAAUUCGUUAAGGGGAAAAAAAAGGAACAUAUGAAGAAGACAUUAAACUAUUCUGACUGCCUUGUAUGAACGAAUGCACUGAGUUGAACAAAAGAAAGCAGAUGCAGACCUGCGUCUUGUAACUGUUACUUUUAUUAACUUGUCAGUUAUUACCUUGAAGAUAUGAAUUGGAUUCAUUUAGACAUUUCUGUUUUACACACCACUGAAUGAAGCACAAGAUUCAGUAACAGGUGCCAAUAAAAAAAAAAAAGUCUGUUAGUAAUGGCUUGCUUUAUUUUUAUCCUUUCUAGGUUAGCUUGCUUGGAAAAAAAAAUGCAUCAAAGCAGGACAAAUACUCAAUCCACUGGCCUAUUUGUAGAACUUUCAUGACAUAUUGUCAUAACUCUCUAUUUUGUGUUUUCCUGCCAUUUUGUGGCGAGUGUCCCCAAAUCCCCAAACCCAUGUUGGAGGUUUUUUUAUUGGUACCAAACUGAAUCUUAUCCCUUCCACUUGUCUAAAACACCAGCAAUAUUCAAAUUAUUCCAUUUAUGUCCUAGCUUACAAUUUCAUUAAUUAAACAACAACAACAACAACAAAAACAUUUGCAGACUAUAUUAUGAACUGUUCCAUGAGGACUCAAACCAAUAAAGUUCAGAUUCACACCCAAAUUGCUACACUGCUCCCCAGUCAAACAAGUACCAUCAGCUUACCUCCCUUACCAUUUUGUAAGACCAGCAGUGUUGCCAGUUCCAGCCACAUCCACUGCCCUUCCUCACCCUUCCACAUCUAGUGAACAUCAGACAGCAUACAGAACAUUUGCUAGUGGUGAAGCCUGGACCAUCCCCACCUAUGGCUGGAGACAGUAAGAAAGAUCUCCUGAGCUUCCCUGGGAGACUCUCCCUCAGCUGGAAAGGGUAAUCUGGGUCUCAUAUCUACCUAGCUACUGACAUUGCAGCAACAUUUAGGAAUUCGUAUCUAUGAGGUCUUCAACACUCCUCCACAUUCAGCAGAACAGUGAAGAUGCAGUCACAUAAGUUGAACUUCCUUGAGAGCACAGACUCCAUUUAAAAGCCUUGCACCCAUACACUUCUUUUUCAGCCUCUAGUUUUGCUAUUGUUAUUCUAACACAUCAUAGUUCUCUGGUAGAGGAAGAGGCUUCAUUUUCAGUAAAAGUGAUACAACAAAGGAGCAGGCAAUCAUUCAGCUCUCAAAGGACACAGUUGCUUCUGUUCUUUUCUUCUGCACUGUCUCAACUGUCCUGAAUGAAAUAAGAACACGGAAAACAUGGAGCAUUUUGAAAGUACAACUAAAAGCAUCGAACUCAAAUGUCUGUGUUGAUUUAACUUUAGAAUAAAAUUCCAAAUAUUUUUGCCUGAAAAUCUAUAUGUACGUCCAGUGAAUAACAAUAAUUAGUCCAAACACAUUAAGAAAAAACCCUCCUGCAGGAUUGUGGUGAAACUGUUCAAAGCUCAAUAAUCAGAGCACUUUGAAUUUUCUUACAAACAGCAGUUCCAGUGGGCUUCUGUCUGCAGAACAAACUCUUUGUGUAUAAGAGCAGCUGAAGAAUGUUUAACUUCAAGCUGAAAUAAAAUGGAUGAUUGAAUAUGAAUGAACUUUCUACAUGCCUACACUACUGACUAACCAUUCUCAUAUGAUCAAUUAGAUGAUACA